UGCACUGGGUCCGGCCUCGGAGAAAAGCCUCGCCAGGCCUUCAUAAAUGCCCUCGCUCCGCCCAGUUCCCCGACUGGAGCACCCACACAGGCACCGUGGAGACCGGCAGGAGCGCGAGGACGCCUCUCCGCACGCGCGCCGCGCCGCCCCGCCCUUCCAUCGGCCUGAGGAACCGGGGGCCGGUCAGAGCGUGCCUCGCCUCCGCGCCCGGGGCUCCGCCGCGCACCGUCCACCUUUCCGGGCGGCAUUAGCACACAAUAGUCGGCUCGCGGCAUUUAAGCUCGCCGUGUUCCUGCAAGUCGUCACCCGUAGAAACAGCCUUCCCCGGGGCGGCCUCGAAGCUCCUGCGGAGUGACGGGAAGAGGCUGGUAGAGGGGAGGGGGAGACAAGGAAGACUUUCAUUUUCAAGAAAAACUUUCGCCCUCCCGACCUCCCCCGCACUCAUCUCAGGAUAGAAACGUCCCUUGACUGAGCUAAUGGUGUUGUGUUAAAGGAAAGAGAUGGUUUUUCUUUUAAAUGUAACAGUUUCUUCCUUGUGAGGUAAUGCGGAGCCCGUGCGUACCCAGAAUCCCCGAGGUCUCGCGUGGCGUGUUUCCGGUGGCUGUGCUCCCGCGGCAGCGGCGGGGCGAGGCUCGGACGAGCGUCAUCCGCUUCUCUCAGCCUCCGCUCCGGCGGGAUCCUCACUCGUUUCCCGUUUCUCUCCGCAAAUUAACAGUUUCCUUGUAUUUUGUGAUUGUAAGAAGAAUACUGCUUUUUAAAAAAAUGCCUACUCCCUGCAACUGUCCAGUAUUUUUUGGCAUCCCUUAAAUUUUGCAUUAAGGGCAGAUGUCUCACUCGCCCUGCUUCCUCACCCUAGACCUGGUCCUACCACGAGGAGUCAACUUACUUCACAGAUUAACAUGGUGUCUGACUCAAAAACAUUCACAACUCUGAGAUCACCACUAUCCACAUUUCACAGAGAGAAGAACCUAGGCUUUGAGAAGUUAAGGUAACCUGCCCACGGUCACAUGGCUAGUUCCAGGAAGACUCUUGAAAAGUCAGAUGCUGUCCUGAUUCCCAAUCCUUUAGACGUUACCUGUUUUUCUCUAUGGAAACCCCAGGGUUCUGAAGUUUCAGAAUGAUGGGUCUUGCUUUAUUGGGAUAUAAUUUAUAUAUUAUAAAACAUACCCAAUUUUAAGUAUAUAGUGAGAUGAGUUUUGAUACAUGUGUAUAGUCAUGUAAUCUCUGCCACAUCAUGAUAUAAAAUAUUUCCAGCACUCCAAAAAUGUCCCCCCUUGCAAUUAACCCCCUACUCCCAACCCCUGGUGCCUGGAAAUCACUGAUUAGCUUUCCAUCACUGUAGUUUUGCCCUUACUAGAAUUCCAUGUAAAUAAAAUCAUACCGUAUGUAGUAUUUGGUGUCUGGCUUCUCUCCCUUGGCAUUAACUCU